rnacentral:rRNA from 1 species
UUCUAUUAGAUAAAAUUAAUAGUAAAAUCUGCUCAAUGAAUAUUAAAUAGCCGCUUUUGUGCUAAGGUAGCAUAAUAAUUUGUCUUUUAAUUAAAGACUGGAAUGAAAGAUUUCACAUCUCAAUUUAUUUUUUUAGAAAAAUUAUUAAAAUUAUCUUAAUUGUAAAAAGACAAUUAUUUAAAAGAAAGACGAUAAGACCCUAUCAAACUUUACUUUAGUUUAACUGGGGUAGUUAAUUAAUUAUAAUUUUAAGUAUAAUAAAUUAUAAAUUUGAUCUAAUCUAAUUAAUCAAAUAAUCAAGUUACUGUAGGGAUAACAGCGUAAUUAAAUUUGUAAGAUCUUAUUUAUAAUUAGGGUUGCGACCUCGAUGUUGAUUUAAUUUCCUAAUUUACGCAAUAGUAAUUUAAGGAAGUCUGUUCGACUUUUAAAAAAUUACAUGAUUUGAGUUCAGAUCGGUGUAAGCCAGGUCGGUUUCUAUCUUCUGUGAGUUUCUUGUAGUACGAAAGGACCUAAGAAAAUAAUAAUAUU